ensembl:lncRNA
AUUACGUUUAGGUAUAAGGUUAGAGAAGGUUAUGUUUGGUAUAAGGUUCGAGGGGGUUAAUUUAGGUAUAAAGUUACAGAUGGUUACGUUUAAGUAUAGGAUAAUUGUAGGUUGUGAAGUCAAGGUGGUUAACUUAAGGUAAGGGAUUUAUGGGGUUGAAUUAAGGUAAGAGUUUAUCGUGGUUAAGGUGAGGGAAAGGACCAGGGUAGGAACGACAUCAUGGCGGUAAUCAGUGGAACGGUCUGUUUUGCCCGCUGCUGCUGGGAUGCUGCGAAGCGGCGCUCACCUGUUUCCACGACAACCUUAAGAACGUCACGGCGCAGCACGAGAUAGCGUCGGGCAUGCAAUUGUUCAGCAGUCUGAAAAACUCAAACCUGAGGAAGGCUGUCCAGUGCAAAGACCCUGGCCCCGCCCCGGAUCAUUCCUGCCCAGCCUGCGAUUCUUUCCCCAGGACGAAGGCGGAGCUUGUCAACCAGCUGUCCCAGUUCCUCGAAAAGGCAGCGAGCAGCUUGUCUACAAAAAGACGGGGAUGAAUCCACCAACUAGGACGCAGCUGAACCCACCAAUCCGGACGCAGCUGAACCCAUCAGACCUCAUCUACAUUCAAAUUUUUAUUUAAGAGCAGCUCACAAUAAUGUAUUCCCAUUAACAGGCCAUAGAUCUUAUUCAUAUGAAUAUUUAUUUUCUUUGUAUUAACUGAUUUACUUAUUUAAUAUUUAUUAAUUUAUUAUUUAUUCAUUUAUUUAUACAGAGUGUGUGGACACUUGGUUAUUGGUUCUUAAAGAACCUAUGAUUUGCUACCGUUCAUGGUAAUUUAUUUAUUUACAAAUAAAAUUAUUUUUAUUUAAUAAAAAUGCCUUUGUCUUGUUUUUGAUACUGAGUCACAUGAUGAAUCUGCUUCUGCCUUAUUAUUAUUUCACCAUUUAAAUUGCUAAUAUUUCCC